CCACCAUAUGGCCAUAGUGUGUUAAACCCACCACCGAUAUUGGGGUACUGAGACGUAGUGAUGAGUUUAACACACUAUGGCCAUAUGGUGGAAC